GCGCCGCGGUGGUGCGGCCCCCGCGCUCGGCCACCUGCCGGGUCGGCUCCGCGGCGGCCGCUGCCGUCGCCGCCCGCCGAGGGCGGGACGAAGGGUCGCGGGCUCCUGCAAACAACAGAGAUUAAAUCAGCAUUUGAUAUGAGAAUUUGACCUGGGAAUCUGCAUUUCUUCACAGAUAGUUUCAGGUAAUUCUCAUGCACACAGUCACCCCUUUGAGAAACACUGAAUAACACAAUGAAAAAUAAUAAAAUAUAUCAUUUUUCCUAAAACUGCUAAAGAUCAGAGCCUGAUAAUGCAAAAGUCUUUUUAAUAUUUUGAAACUUUUUGGAAUUUCUGCUAAUGAAUUAUUUUAAAAUGUGAUUUUUAAAAAUCAGAAUAUAAAUAAUCUUUAAGAAACUGAUAUUGGUCACUGUUUGAAGUAUAUUACUCUGAAUUUGAUUUCUGUAUCCUUUUGGCUAUAAAGGAGACAACUCUAAAUGGCUAUCAAUUGCUACACUAGUUCUUUGUACCAAUUCUGACAAAAGCCUAAUAAUUCUUUCCAUCAAAAGUUAGGACUCAUAGCAUAUUCUCAAGAAGUAGGUAAGAUUUUUGUGCACUAGAAUAAUCCAGUUAAACUAAACCGUAUUGCAUUGACCUAUGUAGUACUAAAUGCAUGACAGUAAUCCUUUGUUAAAUUCAGACUAAUUACACUGGAUUAACUGGGCAAAUAUUAUGAUCUAUUAUAAUAUUGUUUAUAUGCUCCUGAUUAUAUUUUCAUUAUUUUUAUGCAUUUUGGAAGUGCAGCUGCUUAGCCAAUUCAGGAGUAGGAGGGAGAACUUCAGUGUUUUGAAUUCGACGGAAUGACUUAUUAGCCCAUAGUUCACUGGACUGAGUGUCACAUUUGUGGAAUUUCACAUAUGUUAUUUUCAUAGAAGUCCAGGAUCAGUUUAAUAUAUGUGCAGUUGUGUCAUAAUAUAGUAGUUAACUAUUCAAGAAAAUUCAACCAAAUUUUAUUUUGUUCACUGAUGGUGGCGUACUGAUUUUCAAAUGCAUGAGCCUAUCACUUGGAAGUGAUAGGUUGGAACUUCCAACUCUCAGGUCUCCUUUGAGCUAAGAAACUUCAUCAAAAGGCUGCUUACAUCAGCUUUAUUACUCCCUUGUUUAAUCUGUUCUAAGUUAAUGAAGAUAAAAUUUGGCUUUCUGUUUUUCCUUCCAAAUCUUACAACACACAAACAUCUAUCUUAUGCAUUUUCAAGAUUAAAAAAAUUAGGUAAACACAUAUGUUUCAAGGAUUAUUAAUCGUCACAUUAUGACAAACAACAUUAUUUUUUACCUACCUAUAACCUGCAUGGUAUAGUAAUAAUAUGAUAGAUAACCCAAAGACCUUGACUUCAGAAGUGUGUACCCUGUAAGCAGAAACGGGAAAUGAAGAUUACAUUCAAACACCUAUAGAAAUAUAAUUCACACACAUUAAAGAGAUUUUAAAUUUUAUUUAUUGACUUAUACUCUACCUUAUUGCCCUAUCAAGGCAGCUUACCGAAAGAGGGAAGCUUACAUUCAGAAGGCAGCUUACAUUCAAAAAUAUGGCAUGAUAUUAAAAGAAACAAAUAGUUGCUUCUAAAUCUUCUUGAAGAGUCAGACUGAAAAUUCGAAUUCUCAUCUUCAUUAAGUUAAAACUUACGAUUUGAUGUUGGGGUUUGAACUUCAACCACACAUAUUCAAAUGUAAGAACAAGAGAUCCAAGUUUGUUGUAACAAAAAUAAACUCAACUAAUAUACACUAGAAGCUUCUAUUUACUAACACCUGAACAGUCCUCUGACUGCUCUUGUGUAUAAAAAGGGAAGGUAAAUAUGGUCAAACAUUUACAGAAACUGUAUGUCACUUAGACCUUCCUGAAAAAUCAAGUUGCUCAGCAACUCUCCCACUGGAAACACUGUUGAUAACACUGUUUUUUUGAAAUUUCAGUAAGGUAAAAGUGUUUAUCACUAAACUACCAAAGCAAGAUGACUGCCGUGCAAAUAAUAAGCCAUAGCAUAAAGACCUCCUAUUCACAAUACAUUGCCCUAAUUAAGACACAAACUUAAAAAUCAUACGCUCUGAUACAAACCCUUUGGUAACUAAUACCCUGUGUCAACCUAGAGUUGACAAUUUUUGAAUUUAUCACCGAGAGAGUAAUUCUAAGUCAAAAGUGGUUUUAUCAAAAGAAUUUCUCACCAGUGAAUGGUCCCCACAUCAUUCAAUUCCUUGUGUAGUGUCACAUCUAUUCCCUAGAAUGAAAAAAUAAAGCACUCUAAAAUAAAUCCCUCAAGAUAAUGAUUAUAGGUACCCUAGAAUUAUCUAAUGUUAAUAAAUGUACCAUCCUAUCUUGCUCUACUGUAAUUGACUAUUUUAUUUAUAAAAAUACCUAUUUAUUUAAUUAUAUGUGUGCCAUUUAUAAAAAUUAAGGAAUUUAUUCAGCAAAAAUUAAAUUCAGACUCUCAGUGGAUAUCUCCCAACUAAGUCAUGUUAGCCAUACACAUUACAAAAUGAAAUAAUACAUGCUUUUAGAAUCUCUGAAAAAAAAAUGUUUUGUAAACUGGAAAAAAAAACUACCUUUGGUAUCUUUCCUCAGUCAGUAGAUCAUCCAACAAUCUAUCUGUCUUUUGUAAUUGUGUGAUAUGCAUAUUACUAGUGUUAACAGAAUGACUGUAGCUGAUACAUGGUAAAUCUUUUGUUAUUUUAAUACUUUCAUGAUUAAUUUAAUGUGGAUUAGGCAAAAAUUAAAAAUAAACAUGACCAAAACAUUAAACUAGUGAUUUCAUUUAUGUUAUUUAAGUUGUGGCUAAAAGAGAUAUUUAAUUUUUAAAAGUAAGUCCAUUUUUGGAAAACUGAUAAGAAACUAAUAGUUUGGGUAGUGUGAAACCCCAAAAUCAUGAAGGUGAAAUUAAUGAUGUUAUGCCAAUUUUUAUAUGGUCAGUUUAUUCAAUGAUCAUAAUCAGUUGAACUUUGGUAAACACUUAUCUUUUAACUGACAGGAAGAAAACAAUUUAGAAAACUUAAACUACUCUUGUAGUUUUUAGCCAAUUAUGCAUCGCAAAGAAUUUCCUCUCCAAGUUCAGAAUUGUUAUGUGGGUUUUAUCAGUAAAGAGAGCAACUAGACAGAUUUCAUAAGAUCAGUAAUGUUUACAAAAUAGUAGGUGAUACCUGCCAGCAUUGUUAACACUGAGUAGGAGGGAGAGUCCAGGAUUUGAAAGUAUAAACUAGUGUUCUCUUCACCACUGUCCAGAAGAAAAUAUCUUUCAGUCAAGAAGCCCCUCCCCACAAAGGUUUAAGGAUAAUGGAAAGAAGUGGUAUAGACCAAUCUUCAAAGUCUCCCACUGUGCCCUUACUCUCAGGGGACCACAUCCUAAGAAAACAGACUCUAAAAUCAAGACAGGUACAUUACCAACAAAUAUAGCAGUAUGUAUAUGGAAGUGAAAAACUGGGGAACAAAAAUAAGAUAAUCCAUUGAAAGUUGCGGCAGCUAUGAGAACAGCCUACUGCAAGGUGGGAGGUGGUUGGAAAGCAUAUAACCAUCAAGUGAGUCAAGAGUAAUUAUCUACUGUGGGCAGUACUGCCAGUCAGUAGUCAAAAUCCUAGAAAGAUAUUGACAAUUCUUAUGAUAUUGAACUAGACUCCAAAUUCUCAAGAUUAUAAGAACAACCAUUUCCUUAGGUUUAAGUAAAAGGUAUUCCAAGAAUUUGAUAAAAUGGAAAAUAAAAAUCCAACCUCAAUUAUAAAUCACAUUCUUACUUAGAUCCAUGUGUAUAUAAGCAGACUACAGCUUAUAUACUUCUUGAAGGAAGUAUAAGAAAAAAUUCAGUUUACUUACAGAUGUAACAACUAUACUUCUAAAUUCCUUUCCAAAACCUGGUAGGAGUCAUGGUGGAAAACUGUACAGCAGCCCCUGGAAAUGAGUGUUUUGAUUUGGUGAGACUCAGGUUAAGACCCACAGACUGAUCACCCUAUAUAAUUUCCUCUAAGUAUGUAUAUCAAACCAAAGAGAGUGGCCACGUGGGAAGGAUGCUUACCCUUUCUUUAAAGCCUGAACAUAUCCUCAGCUAGAUCCUGAGGUAAGGGUUGAGGGUGGGGAUUGGUUCUAGCUUUUGUUUCAUAAGUUCUAAUAAAUAGACGUUUGUUUCUUUUGCUUUGUAGGUGGCUGUAUGCCUGAUUCAAUAGACCUCUCAAAGAGUGAUAAUGGGGUAAGAGAUUUGGUAGGGAGCUCUAGAAAGGACAAGGUUUGAGCUAUCUGAUGGGAAGCAAUUGGGUCAGACUGUUGACUUAGACCCAAGCUGUGCCACUGAUGGUGGGAAUAAGAGCAUGACUGAGCUGUAAUGAAAGAACUCAAUCAGAAUCUAGGCACCCUAAAACAGCUGUCUUAAAUUUAUGUACUCCCGAGGAGACACUUGGACAAAAGCAGUGGUUACAUUCACUUAACAUAAUUGAGUCAAUUACAUUAAUAAAAUGUGCUUAGCUGGUCAUAUCUCCUUUGAUCACUGUGAUUCAAGCCAUGUACAUUAGGUGUAAGCAGCAAUACCAUCUCUCCAGAGGAAGUAAAAAAUAGAUAACUGAGGACCACCUUUGGUAUUUCCACUCUAUCUCCUUUCAAUCCUCCAGUAUGGCCAGCUGAUAAAUCAUAAAUCAGAUGGAAUAUCAAGAUUUCUUGAUAAAAGUCUACCAAUUGAAUUAAGCAAUCACAACUUUGGCAAUGUUGCUCUCCCACCCCUAUAAAAUCUGGAUUCACCUACUAUUUGUCACAGAUUUAUUUACUGGGACUUUCAAUGAUGAGAUCAACCUAAGGACAUUACUAUCAUCAACCGCAUUGAUGAUAUUUAAAUGUUAGUAGGAUUUAAUGAAGCAAGAUAUCAACUUCUUAUUCACUAACAUCUCAACAAAAAGGAGAAGGGAUAAAUUGUUAUCCCUCCAAAAAACUUAGGGUCUUGCCAUGUAAGUGAACAUACUGGAAUUCCAAUGGAUGAGAGAAGGUAGAAUAUCUUUCCUAAUUAUACUCCAGAAUAUUAAACUGAAACCUCUAUCCUAACAUCCCAACCUUGACGGAGCCAGCAGCCUUGAGACAGCAUAUCUUGGCCUUGGGAAUUUGAUGUGCUGUAUGUACUAGUUAAGCUGGAAGUCUAGUAAAUUUGAGUUGAGGUACUUUUUUUUUUUUUUUUUUUUUUUGCAGUAUGUGGGCCUCUCACUGUUGUGGCCUCUCCCAUUGCGGAGCACAGGCUCCGGACGCGCAGGCUCAGCGGCUAUAGCUCACGGGCCCAGCCGCUCCGCGGCAUGUGGGAUCUUCCCGGACCGGGGCACGAACCCAUGUCCCCUGCAUCGGCAGGCGGACUCUCAACCACUGCCCCACCAGGGAAGCCCAAGCUGAGGGUCACCUUCUGAAAGGAUCUGAAGCCUUAAGAACUUCCUUCAGCCUUUGUUGUAAGAGCACAGGCUCCGGACGGGCAGGCUCAGCGGCCAUGGCUCACGGGCCCAGCUGCUCCGUGGGGGAUCUUCCCGGACCGGGGCACGAACCCGUGUCCCCUGCAUCGGCAGGCGGACUCUCAACCACUGCGCCACCAGGGGAGCCCUGGAUGUAGAAUUCUUGAUUUACUGUUCCUUUUCUUCCUGUACCUAAAAUAUGUCUUUCACUGACUUCUGGUCUCCAUUAUUUCUGAUGAGAAGUCAACUGUUAGUUAUAUUGUUUCUUUAUAUGAAAUAAAUCAUAUUUUCUCACUGCUUUCAA